rnacentral:rRNA from 1 species
GACGAACGCUGGCGGCGUGCUUAACACAUGCAAGUCGAACGGAAAGGCCCUGCUUUUGUGGGGUGCUCGAGUGGCGAACGGGUGAGUAACACGUGAGUAACCUGCCCUUGACCUUGGGAUAACUUCAGGAAACUGGGGCUAAUACCGGAUAGGAGCUCCUGCUGCAUGGUGGGGGUUGGAAAGUUUCGGCGGUUGGGGAUGGACUCGCGGCUUAUCAGCUUGUUGGUGGGGUAGUGGCUUACCAAGGCUUUGACGGGUAGCCGGCCUGAGAGGGUGACCGGCCACAUUGGGACUGAGAUACGGCCCAGACUCCUACGGGAGGCAGCAGUGGGGAAUAUUGCACAAUGGGCGGAAGCCUGAUGCAGCAACGCCGCGUGCUGGAUGACGGCCUUCGGGUUGUAAACCGCUUUCGCCUGUGACGAAGCGUGAGUGACGGUAAUGGGUAAAGAAGCACCGGCUAACUACGUG